UUUUAUUUAUUUAUUUUUUUUAUUCAAAGAAGGACAGUGCAGUGAGGCACCCAACAGUAAAUGGAGCAGAAUUUACCUGUUCCAAUGUACUGAGCUACAAUUCAUGAGGAACUACAGUAGGGUCAGGCACUGUAUUGGUUACUUAAAGUGGAUGAGUGUAUUGAAUCCUCUUGACAUGGGUAUUAUUACCCUGUCUUCUGGAUUAGGGGACUAAUACUCUGCAAGUUUCUGCAACUUGCCUAUCAGAUUCCCUGCCUUGUGCACUCUCUACUACUUCCCUUUUGGAAACUGCCUCCACGUCACCGCUGGGGGCGCCGUUUUCACAGAACACUGGGCUCCAGGAGAUGACUCUUUCCAGAACCAUGAAAUGUCCUCUUGAUAGAAUCCAAGUUGGGAUUUCUCUUUCCCCCAGAACAAUAGUAUAGAGGAGGGGUUGGAGACUAAUGUAUAACUAGGCUUAAAUUCAAAUCACUUUGAUUUCACACAUUGACUAGAAGUGCAUUGUACCUUAAUAGACCCAUACUCAUUAGUGGUAAAAUAAAGAAAUGUGAAAAUAAGAAAUCCCCAAAAUGUUUGUAUUGUUAUUUAUUUAUUGAAAGACAAAGUUACACACAUAGGGAUAUCUUCCACUGGUUCAUUUCCCAAAUGACCAGGGCUAGUCCAGGCCAAAGCCAGGAGCCCGGAACUCCACCAGGUCUCCUACAUGGGUGGCAGGGGCCUAAGGACUUGGGCCAUCUGCUGCUGCUUUCACAGGCACAUUGGCAGGGAGCUGGAUCAGAAGCAGAGCAGCUGGGACUCAAACCAGUACCCAUGUGGGAUGCUGGUGCUACAUGAGGAAGUUCAGCCCACUGCACUACAACAUCAGCCUGAAAAUGGUUGCAUUUUUGUAGAUAGGUGGCAAAAUCAUUUUGUCUCAGCUGUUUUUUUUUUUUUUUUUUAAUCUAAUUCCCAUGUGUUUGCCAGUGCGUUUGGUUGCGUGGUUAUCAUUUUUAUGAGAAAACUGCAGAAGAAGCGGACUUUAAAUAGCCUAAAACCUCAAAGCAGACUAAUUUUCAGAGCUUAGAUUAGAAAUUAAAAUGGAAUUUGUAGAAGGGUAAGAAACUAACACCAACAUGAAAAAGCAGCCUCAGCUGGUGACAAAGACAGACUGUUGGAAUUGAGUCACCAUGAGCUUUGCCAGAUUUCUAUUAUCAGGACAGAAAAUAUCUCCUAGGCCUUUAUGAAGUAAUCUCUCUCCCCUUAACAAUAUGAAAAUGAAUAAAAAGUUAAGGAAAUAGAAACACUUAAGGGAAGGAAUUUGGCAAAAAAAAAAUUGAUUAUUCAAAAAUAGGCUUUGCUAGCAAGCCUCAGUUUGAAUUGAUAGGAAACCUGUGAGCAAGAGUUAGGUUCAGUUUUCAGUAAAAAACAGAAAAACUGGCAGCUACCAAAGGGUAUUGUCACUGUUAAUAAAUGAAUGAACUCUGAGGUGGCAUUAUUCUCGUUUGGCUGCUAAGGACAAUAAGACUUAGAAAUUGAUCAGUAACUGUCAGGAAAAAGUGGAGACAGAAUUUGAACCCACAGCUCUGAGACUCUUAAACCUUUCCUCUUCCAUUUUAGUGUUCUGUUUGCAGGUGAUUCACUUGUGUAAGAGUCUUAGGUUUGGAGGCAUUUCCUCUCAAUUUUCAUUAAUCUGUGUUUGAAUCCAUUUUAUAUCAUGUUAAUGCCUCUCCAUCACCAAUGUUACUGUUCAUUUGUUUUAUGUAGUAAACACUAGCUAAAAGGUGCUUUGUAAAUGGUGCAUGACUUCAGCUUCGAAUGUUCCAUGGGGCUGUUGAGUGUUGUUGGAAAGCCCAGAGAAGUUUUGCAUCAGGUCCUAAACGAUGGUGAUUGACAUUGACGCUCUGUAUUCAUAAUGGUCUAGGGCAGUGCUGUUUGUCCAAACCAUAACCUUGAAGAGUGUGUUUUGUUUCUUGUGAGUAAAUCCUUGAACGUCCAGUCUCCUGAUCCCAGAGACACGUACCUCUGCUGCCUGGCUGGCUGAGGUGCAGCAGACAGGACGUGCUGGAAGUGGCCUGGCUUCUGGUCACCGAGUCCCCGUGCCAUCUGCGCUUCCUGCCCUGUUCUCGAAAGUCCGGCCGGCCCUGGGUGUGCACUGGCUCUGUGCCCGCCUUCAGUAACGUGAUGCGUAGCUUUGCUUAGCUCUGUCAACACCCAAAACACAUUUGCUUGCCUUUAAGUAGCAGGAAUACAACCAUGUUGAUGUUGAAAAACGCUGAACGUAAUUAAUUUCUUUCCUUUGAAGCAUGGCCAUUGUUAACGAUCCCUGCUUUACUCUGCCUCUUCAGCUGGAGUCGUUCUUUGCUCCCUAAAAAUAAAUGAUUUCAUUAUGCACAUUUAUUCCAUCUGCAUUUAUUCCAAAUAGAAUUAAUAUAUUAAUACUGGGAAGCCAGGCACAUGAAAUUCACACAUGCACUUGUCUUCAUUAGCAUAGAGUUAGUGAACCUAAUAACCCUCAAUUCCAGGCUGUGGUACAUUUCAAAGGGUUUUGAACGUGCCUUGGCUUAGCUGAAACUGGAUCUCAGAGGGUGAUCAGGAAUACAUUUAAAAUUUAAGAGUUUCCCGUGCUGACUGUUCCACGUGGCCAAUGCGGGCCUUGGACUUGGUUUUCCACCUUUGUGGCAUGUGGCUAAGACAGCGUGGCUUGCUCUGGCUACUGUCCGUGUGCAUCCACACCUUGGUCUUGCUCUGAGCUCUCUGUGGAAGAGCCUCGUCUUCCGUGGCCAGUUGUGAUUGGACUUUACAUAAUGUGUUGCAGUGGCUUUUCCGUGGGAUAAGAUUAACAUAAGGGGAGUGCUCGCGUUCGGUUGGCAUUCCCGGCUCUGCCCUGCUUUCUCCGAGCUACAUGUCAGCUGUAGCGGAACCUAAAUUAUUAAUACACUCUGGGUAGUGCCUGUGCAUUGAGCUUAAUCCGGCCUGUUUUUUGGAAGUGCUGCUGCUAGUGAUUUCUGAAACAAUAGGAAUAUUGAUGUUUGGAGGCUGUAUGGAAUGAGGGCCAAGGGCCUGGGCCUGGGCCUGAGCCAUAGACUCAGAAGGCCUGGGUUUGAAUCUUGACACUGUUGCUUCUUCUCGUGGAGUCUGAAGUCUGUUGCUUCACCUCCCUGACCCUCUGCCCUCCUCCACAGUAACACCGGCUGCCGAGAUGCUGUGAACUCGGAACUAAAUUGAUGUGCAGUGAGCAGCACAAGGCAGUGAUUCAACAAAUGGCCAUUCCUCCUCCUUCCCCCUCUCUUGGCCCCUUUCCCUGGUGCUCACGACGGAAAGGAGAGUUUGUUUUCUGCUAAGCAUAUUUAGUGAGACUUGUCAGCCAAAAUGUGGGAAACAAAUUUGCUGAAGUGAAUUAGGAGCUGGGGUGUACAUGCAAGUCCAUGAUGAGGAUGCCCAGGUGUUUUUGUUGAGGGAGAGAGAGGACUCUGUAUUCCUAAAAGGACGUUAAAACCAGAGCUAAGUUUCUGUUAUGAGAAACAUGGCUAAUGAUGACCCUGAACAUGGGGUGGGGGUCCAAGUCUUAGAGAAGUGUCCUGCUUUUCCCCAAGUCACCAGGACAGCUCCCUUAGCGACAUCUACACCCCAACGCAGGUGUUGGGCCUGCCAGUCCUUUUCUUUUCCUGGGUACCCUUGUUGGGUUUAGCUGUGAAUUCCCCUUAAAGUCUCCUGCUGGGAUCAGCUAUUGACCCCAGAGUGAAAGUCACUUGAUGGAAACUUCAGUUCUAGUGACACAUGAGUGUGUUGGGGCCUGUCUCUGAUGUGCAGUUUCCCAGGGACAAUUAGGGAGAGAUUAGCAAACCAACAACAGACAAGUUUGCUUGCUAAACAUCAACUGUCAAAUCAAAGAAGGCUUCUAUAAGUACUUUCGACGGUAUUUCAGGCCUGUUGUGCCACUUCUUCUCCCCUACUUGAUUACUUGUAAUAUGCUGGAACACUGUUUGUGUUCUUUCUCUUUUUUCUCACCAUAUAAGUCAGAGAAGUCCACUGUGGAAACAACAUUAAAUACACGGAGGCAAGGAUCACGCAGAGAAACACGAUUGUUACUGACUGAAAUCUAUUUUUUGUGGGGGGAGGGAAUUUUCUGUGCACAUGUAUGUUCAAUAUCUUCUAUACCUUCUCUUGCUUUUCUCUCCCAUUUCUCAAGAAAUAAAUGCAGAUAAGAGUGGUACCUCUUAUUUUAUAACCUCAUUUUCCCCACUAGAAAUAUAAUAUGAAUAUAAGAGUAUAAUAUUGAACGCAUGUCCAUUUGAAUAAAUAUAUUUGUGUGAGUUUUUUUAAAAUUACCUUUAAUUCCAUUUUAUACAAAUGUUUUGAAGUCCCCUCAUAUUUGAUAUGAAUAUUUUAUUCUGGCCUCUUUUUCUUUUUUUUUUUUUUUAGAAAGCUUUUAUUUACUAAAUAUAAGUUUCUAAGUACAACUUUUGGAUUAUAGCUGUUCUAACCCCAGACUGGAUAUAUAGCAUUCUGCUUCAUGAAUGUACCAAAAUAUAUCCAAUUAAUCACUUACUUUUCUCUAUGUGGUUGAUUUCAAUUUUCGUUAAUAUGAAAAUUACCUCAGAGGACAAUAUAACUUCAUUUUUUGCCAAAACUGACUCUCGCAUUUUUGUUUGUUUUUUAGCAUGGCAAUUCAGAGCCUCCAUCCUCAAGCCAGAGCUGGCCGUUACAACCUCGUUUCCCACAGAUCCUCUGACCUUAAUUCUAGUUGGAAAGGCUCCCCUGGUCACCGUUCCAGGGCACACCCUGCUUUCCCGCCACUGGCCUUUGGUUGCUCUGCCUGCAACCCCUGCUUCUCCCAUUCUGUUUUAUACAAAUCCUCCCCUCCUUUAGGGCUCAUUUGCAGCUCCACCCUUUUUUGAGAAGACCAGCUGGUUUAUCCAACUGGUAGCAAUUGCUUUCAUGUUAAUUAUUAUUUCAUGAUAGUUUGUAUCUCAAGAAAUUUAAGAUAGUCUAUGUGGAAUUCGUUUUCUGUGAAGAUGUCUAGAUGAGAAGAGCCGCAAGUCUCGAUUUUGACUCUUGGCAAGGCCCCUCAGUUUGCAACUCGAGCCCGUUCCCUUGUUGGUUUAAUACUGCGGACACUGACACCAUAGCACCAGGUGUCCCUCCCUGCUUCCUCAGCACCCCCACAGCCCCCAUGCUCUGACUGCACUAAUACACCUGGGGCAGGACCCCAGUGACUAAUGGUGUGUCCCCUUCUUAGGCCCCUUGAGUCUGUCCCGGUGGGGGAAGAAAUGAUAGUGGCUGUGUCCCUCUGCUCAGGGCUCUGCUUUUCCUCCAGUCUGCCUUAGCUCACCUGAGAGUCUUCAGUGGCGGAGACUCUCAUCCGGUGAGAGGAGGCUGCACUAGGUGGUGUGACCCCCUGGCCUGCUUUGCUGAGGCUGACAAGCUUUCCAAGGACGUGAGCCUUUCCGUGAGAUAACUGGGCUGGCUGUACCCCUCUCCCUAAGGGCAUAUGUAGUUGCCUCUUAUCCAUAAUAAGUGGACGGAUGAAAUGGUAGAUAGUACCAAACCCCAUAUCUAUUUUUUCUUACACAUGCAUAUUUUUAAUACAUUUUAAUUUAUUAAUUAGGCACAGUAAGAGAUUACUUUUUUUUUUUUUUUUUACAAAGAACACUUAUUUAAUGUAUACAAACUUCAUGCAUUUCCUAUGUACAAAUUUAGGAACAUACUGAUUCUUCCCACCCUAACUUUCCUCCCACCCUUCUCCCUCACCUAUUCCCAUUCUUAUUUUUUACUAAGAUCUAUUUUCACUUAGCUUCCUACUCUUAAGACUAACCCUACACUAAGAGUUUAACAAAUAGUAUGAAAAAACAUCUAAUAAUAAAAUAGGACAAUUAUACUCUAAUCAAAUUUCUUGCACUUUGAGACUGUUUGGAACAAAAAAGGGAUUUCAUAAACACAAGCACCAUGCUAACAGUUAAUCCACCAAGAAAACUAGUAAGUGAUUAGCAGGUGGGUAGCAUGUACUGUGUGCAUACACUGGACAGAGGAAUGACGCAUGUCCUGGCUCACAUGGAGUGGGAUACUGUGAGAGCUGCUCAUGCUACUCAGAGCAGUGUGCAACUUAGAACUCGGGAAUUAUUCUGGAAUUUUCCACUCAAUAUUUUUGGGCCAUGUUUGACUAUGCCUAGGGCAUUGAAAACCAUCUAAAGCAAAUCAUGGAUGAGGAGAGACUCGUCUAUUGUAACUGGUUAAGUGUAGGGGAGGGCAAACAGUAGAACCAGGAAGCAGCACCUGUGAAACCUCUCAGCUGUGCCUCCUUUGGAAGCCCUGCCUUCCACCUGUGACUGUGAUACAGCUUGUUUCCCUCCAGGAGUCCACCGUGCGUGUUUAAAUUUCCCUGUCACCAGUGGACACUAUUUCUUACUGAACUUUCUGCCCUCUCCGGACCACUGACACAGAGGACCCUUCUCUGUACCUUGCCAAACAAACACAGGAAAGAAUGUAAAAUUCAGCUCCAAUCAACAACUCUUGUUUUCCUUAUUUAGGGUCUCAUCUAGGACCCAACUUCUUGGCUUUACUUUUAGUGAAAGAUGAUCCAGAAAUUUCACAUAAAAUAGAAUUAGCAAGUAGCUUUAUUUGGUUGCAGAAAUUUGAAAUUCAUGCAUAUAGGAGGUCUUCAAAAAGUUCAUGAAAAUUUCUAUUAUGAAAACACUGCAUGGAUUUCAAAAUGAUUGCCACCAAAAUAAACUCACCUUAGUUUUGUUUUCCCAUGAACUUUCUGAGUUACCCUCGUAAGUCUCUGGCUCUUCAACUGGCUCUUUUGUCUUACUCUCGCCUGCCCUCCUGUUUGCAUUAUUCCCAACACUGAUUUUCCCAAGUUGCCUCCCUCUUCUGCUCACGCAAUUAGCCGAGGUAAAUCUGACAUCUCACUCCACGAAGAGAGGCCCCAGCCAGGCUGCCACCUUCCACCAGUCAAUGGAUUAUUGGACAUACACAGACAUAAAGAAUAUCACUACUUUCCAACUUAAUUCAGGUUUUAUAUCUCAUGCCCUAGCCAAAAGGAAGCCUACCCAUUAUUUUAUUGGGAAAUUUUUUGAUGGGCGCCACUACAAAGCUGUGUAACCAAAAUUCCAUAUAGACACAAGAAUCACAUUUUACUGAAAUUUACAUAAUUGACACAAGAAACAUGAUUUCAAAUUCUCUUACGAUGAAUAUUUGCUAAAAUAUGUAUCAUACCUUCAUUUUAAUAACAAUUAUUAAAAUUAUAUUUAAUGGACUAAUAAUUACUUUUAUGGAUUGCAGAUUAUAAUACAUGAUUCAGUCAUUCAUUAUAGGAAGUAAAUGAAUGAAUUCAUUGCUUUGAAAUGGAAAGACAAGCUAUGUAGAAGUCUGAAUUUGAACCUCCAGGGUUUAUGUUGGGGACGAAUGCAUCCGUGUUGAAGGGCAGAAUGGCAUGGCAAAAGAAUUUCUACAGUUCAGGCAUCUUAGAGGUGGAAGGGACCUUAGAGGUCACUGCACAAAGCCUGCCUCUCCUUGACAGUAGCUCUGUGAGUUAUUGUCUGUCUCUGCUUUGGAGUCUCCUGCAGCAUCCUGCCUCUGAACACCGCCCCCAUUUCUGAACAGUUGUGAUUGUUAGAACAGGCUCUCUUAUUCUGAGACUAAAUCUAGCACCCUGUUAUGACCACCAUAUGCCAGCUAGUUAUGCAUAUAGAUGAAUAUGGCCAUAUGUAGGUGCUGCUGCUUCUCUCCAAGCUAAACACUUCCUGUUUCUUUAGCCAGGAGUCCUCCAAAGACAUAGGUUUUUGCCAGACCUCCUCAUUCCCCUUUUAGCCAUUGCGUAAUACAUAGAAUUGACACAGAAUUUCGUGUGUGCAUUACCCAGCUCAUAAUAUAUUGACAUAGCACAUCAUCAGCUGUUGCCACUAUUGGUAGAAGGGGCCAAGGUCAUGGUUAUUUUGGGGAGAAGACAAUUGAGAGCCUGUUCAGUCUGUUUUCUUGGGAACUUGUUUUUCUGUUGGCAUGUGAAUUUUCUCCUUCCUCUUCAACUUUUAAUGUCUGUGUUGGCCUUGAAAUACAUACAUUUGACUGACUUCUGAACAUAUUGGAACAUUUGCAAAUAGGAGCUAAGCAUAGAUUUGUAACAAUAUGAAAGCUUUGUCCUCUUUAAUAAUUUAUCAUCUGUGUUUUCUGUUAUGAUACUUCCCAUUACUUUAUUUCUCGUGCUUCAAAAUCAUUUCCUAGGGGCUGGCGCUUCGGUGAAGUGGGUUCAGCCAUGACUGCAGUACUGGUAUCCCAAAUGGGUGCUGGUUAGAGAGUGGCUCCACUUUGCUUCCUGCUAAUGUGCCUUGGAAAGCAGUGGAGAAUGGCCCAAGUCUCUGGGCCCCUGUACUCACGUGGGAGACCAGGAAAAACUCCUGGCCCAGCCCUGGUCAUUGUGGCCAUUUGGGGAGUGAAACAGCAGAUGGAAGAUAUUUUUUUUUUCUCUCUCUCUCUCUGUAAAUCUGCUUUCAGAUAAAUAAAUAAAUAUGUUUUUAAAGAUUUAUUUUAUUUGAAAGGCAGAGUUACAGAGAGGCAGGGAGAGGGAGAGAGGUCUUCCACCUGCUGGUUCACUCCCCAGAUGGCCAUAAUGGCUGGAGCUGCACCAAUCUGAAGCAUGAGCCAGGAACUUCUUCCAGUUCUCCUACAUAGGUGCAGGGGCCCAAGGACUUGGGACACCCUCCACUGCUUUCCUAGGCCAUAGCAGAGAGGUGGAUUGAAAGUGGAGCAGUCGAGUCUCAAACCAGGGUCCAUAUGGGAUGCUGACACAGCAAGAGGAGGCUUUACCCACUAUGCCACAGCACCAGUUCCAUAAUAAAUAUUUUUAAAAAAUAAAUCAUUUUCUAAACACGUAUUAAGGACCAACCAUAUGCUCCACAUUGUUUGUUUCCUUUUUGACUUCUGCCCUUCCAUUUUUGUUUCAGCUUUCUUUUUUACUUUCUUUAUCAUAAAAAUAUUCACUGGAAUUCAUGGAGAUAUUAGAACAGGAACUAGAACAGAUGGAAAUGCUAGUAUAGAUGGAAAACUGGAACAGAUGGAAAUAUUUCAAUAUCAGUUGGAUACCACAGAGUAACAUUAUGUAAUGCGUUACAAUUUAUGAAAGGUUGAUUUUCAUGUAUUUCAGACUAACCAAUUUAAUGGGUAAACAAUUGGCUUCUUAGGGACCAAUGUUGAUGGAUUAAAUCCUUAGAAAGUAGCACAUAUGUAGACUUAUGACCAAAAAAAGCCAAUAAGCACUAAAAAAGAACAAAAUUCUGCAAUAUUUGUUGUAGAACAGUGAAUAGCAAGCAUACAUGUUGUUUAGAUUCCUUACAUUUCAGUUCCACAAACGUGUAUAUGCUCUGUGGAUUCAGAGAGAAAUGACACAUGCUUCCCGUCCUUUGUGAUCUCAUAGGCUAGGAAAGGAGACAGACAAGCUGAAAAGAAUUAAAAUCAUUUUACAGGCCAGCGCCACAGCUUACUAGGCUAAUCCUCCACCUGCGGUGCCAGCACCCCGGGUUCUAGUCCCGGUUGGGGCGCUGGUUCUGUCCUGGUUGUUCCUCUUCCAGUGCAGCUCUCUGCUGUGGCCCGGGAGGGCAGUGGAGGAUGGCCCAGGUGCUUGGGCCCUGCACCCACAUAGGAGAACAGGAGGAAGCUCCUGGCUUCGGAUCGGCGCAGUGCCGGCCAUAGCAAUCAUUUGAGGGGUGAACCAACGGAAGGAAGACCUUUCUCUCUGUCUCUCUCUCUCUCUCUCUCUGUCUAACUCUGCCUGUCCAAAAAAAAAAAAAAAUUUUACAGUUGAUACAGAAAAUUUAGGCAGUGUCCUAGAGGCAUUACAUAGGGGCACAUCCACUGGGCCGACAAUGGAGAUGAGCUAGGCAGGCAUGCAGGUGUGGAAGCUGGUCCUCCUGGCCCGGAGGUGUGGGCAGAUGGCAUGGAGGGCACAGGUAGAAAGACUCGGGAGCGUCGGGUGGUGGGACAGCAUGCCUUGCUGACCGCCGUGGAGGAGAAGGGAAGGAGCCCAGGAGGAUGUGUGGGAGCUCCCGUGAGCUUGUGCAAGGCUGCUUGUAUUCAUUGGCUUCUGUUAGCCAACACUGCCUCCCUCUUCCUUCAGCUUUCCGCUGUUCCUGUCCACUCCUGAAAAUGUUUUUGAAAAGUAAGAAAUGUUACCCUUACUGCCAAAUUUCUGGAGUUGAAGCACUUUGGGGAGCUGAAUUCCAAUGAGGUGAUGAACUGAAGGCCAGGAGGGUACUGGCUGAGUUCUGUUGACAGGUGUCACAGCCUCUGUGCCCUGCCCAAGCAGCCAUUCAGUGUGCCUCAUGCUCCUCAGCUUGAGACUGAGACCAUCUUCACCCUGAGGACUGUAGUAUCCGCUUCCUGCCCUCCCACACACUGGAAGUAUUUGUUGUAUUCAGGAUCAAUCCUUUAAAACAGCGUCAUGUUUUAAUGCAUUCUUUCAUUUUGAGAGCAGUACAUUUAUAGUGUAUAUUUUAAAAAAAACACAAGUAGAUAAAGAGAAGAAAAUCAUCUAUAAUAAACUAAUAAACUGUGCAUGGUCAGUUGAACAUUAUUUCUUUUUCACGUGCUGUCACAAUCCUAAAAGCUUGCUUUUCAGAAAUUUAGAGAAAUGAAACAGGAAAUACUUCGGAAAGUAAUCUACUUGGAGAACAGUUUGCCUUCACAAAUCUGUUAAUAAUGAGCAUGAUUACACAUGAUAAAUAAGAAUGCUAUGGAAAUCUGCCAAGCUGAUGCUAAACAACUUGCAUUAAUGUAACCUGUCUGAAAUGUGCUAUUUUAUUGAAAGACGACUUCCUGUUUGAAGCCACAUUUGAAGAUUCCUGCAAGAAUAUUAAAAUGUACAGUCGACCUGAGCCUGAAUAAUAUUUUGAUGCAAAAAUGUUUCAUUCAUAGUAGUCAGUCACAAGAAAGGAAUGUCAUUAACCUAAAAUUCAUGAGAUGAAUUUAUUCUAAUACUUCUCAGAUGUUUACAAUCUGUAUAUUUGUAUGUAUGUAUUUUUAAUUUUGUAACAUGAGUUGUAUACUAGCAUUUGCAGUUAUAUGUUGUAGCAGAGAUAAACAGAUACUUAACCUUAUAAAAACAUUUAGUUCCCAUAAGAGCCAAAGUAGACAAAAGUGGGAGAAAACAUAGGUCAUUGUUUUCCUUUAAAGGAUUAAGCAGAUAUCUAUUGCUCAAUGCAAUAGAGAUCUAUGGUAAAUAGGAAGUCCCCUGGCUGCACUGAUUGCAAAAUGCAUGAUGGCGCUUGACAAUUGAAAAGAAAUCAUUUCAUAUUGAAACAUUGAAGUCUUGAUGCAUGCAAGUUAUUCCGUUGUUAGCAGAGUUGGGUUCUCAUCUUCUUGCAGGAAAGAAUACAGGCAUGAGACAGAGAGCAGUGGUAAGCAAAGUAGCAAGGUGUAUUGGGGUAGGGCAUCCGUAAGAACAGAUGGGACAGAAUCCGAGAGUGCCCAGUUACUCAGACUGGGGGGAAGCAAGGUUACGUGGUUAAAUGGAGAGAAUACACCUGGCAGGCCAGGCGGGCGGCCCCGCAGAGAGCUGGUGCUGAGCACGCAGCAUAGUCUGUAUUCAGACUGGGGCUUACAGGGAAAGGGCUCCUGUUCUUCCCUCCUCCUGCUCCUCCUCCAGGACAAAGGGCUGGCCGUGUAAAUUUGGAAGAAUUCUUCCCCAGGUUUUACUAGAGUGCUAUCAGACUGGGCCCACCUGGCACCGGGCAGAGGCGCCUCCCCUAGGGUGCCUGCCCUGGAGGAAGGCUGGGAAGGUUUUGCUGCUCCGUGUUACGAGGCCAGCUAAUGCAUUUGGUGCUGAGAGAGGAUUCUCCUGGGGAGCUUUCCUUGGGUGAGGGCUGAGACCACCUGUAAAGCUAUCAGGGUCUGGGCAGGACUUUGUGGUGUAAAAUCCUGGGCUGCUUCCCAAGUGAACUUGUGCAGAUACAUGGUUUGUUUUCCUCUGGCCCCUCUCACACACAUAGGCUAACCUAACACAGUUAGCAUAAAAUGAGGCAUAGAUUUGUCCUAUGGGAAAAGCCCUUCCUAGACACGGUCUGUGCGGUUGACAGCAGCUGGGACAGUCCCUUCCCCCAUGAGGGAAACUCCAGGGGCCUGUGUCAGCACCCAGGGAAUAGCCCGUGAGUGCCUGGCCCAGAGUUUCAGCUUGAGCUUGGGGUGUAACAUACAGCUUUUAAUUGCCUUCUCAGCAAUAUUUCCUUUCAUCUCACAGUCAAUAAACUGUCACGGUAAUGUCCUAGGCAGGUGUGGCAGGAGGAAUCCCCCAGCUCUCUUGUAAAUGUUCAGCCGAAGGCGUUCAUUGUGUUAGCUCAUUUGCCUUAAAAAUACAUUUCCAGAAAAAUUCUGAAAGAAACCCCAUGCUUGGAAUGCACUCUUUAAUGAUCUCAGGGAGUUUUUAAAAAUUAAGGUAGAAUUUAUUUGCAGUCAAACGCACUGAUUGCAAGUAUGUUGAGGCUCAGUUUUGACAAACACAUAGUCCUUAACCCCUGGCCUGUAGCAUGUAGAACUCUUUGUCACCCCCGCAAGUUCCUUUGUUCCUUUUUCCUGUCAGUUUCUCCUCUCCCCUCCAGGCCUUUGUUAACAAUUCUCAGCAGCAUUGUUGUGUUAAUUCACAAAUGUCCAGAGUGACGUAGCCAAGAAGGAUCCUUAAAAGUAUGUUUUCUUUUUGAGAAGUUUUUUCUCCUUACCGAACCAUUGAGAAGCACAUGCAUAGACCAAGAACGGGUAUUUCAAGCUGGGCCAGAUAGAAUUUCAGUGUGUUGUAAAACACAUCAGAGUAUCCUCGGUGUCUAGUUAUUGAUGAAUGAGUACAUCCGUUUCUAGCCUGUCCCUCCAAAAAAAAAAUUUCAAGUAAUUUUCUUUCUUGUUGUAUUUUAAUUUGUCUCUAUUGUAAUUUCCACUUCUGGUAAAUAUUGCCAGCAAUCCUUUGUGACUCUAACAUUGGUGUGCAUACCCAUUGUGUAGGGUGGGAUAAAUGAUCAGUUACUAUAAACUUAGUAACAGUGACCAGUGAACGUCAUGGAGGAGCUGAAUAGUUCAGUAUACCCCCCGGAGUUUGGAGAAGCGGUGCUUUUCUUGGUUUCUAUCCUGUCAGCCUCUGUGGGGUGAUAGGAGGCCAGUUUGAAUGCUCCCACACCCAUGCCCCAUCAUGACUAGGAACCAUUGCAGGAAAUGUGGGGCUUUCUCAUUUGGAUCUCAUGUUCACCAGACAAAGAAUACUUCUAUUUUGUGUGUGUGUGUGUGUGUGUGAGAGAGAGAGAGAGAGAGAGACACCUUGUUUAUUGACCCUGGAGAGUUCUUUCUCAUCCUUUUAGCAAAUGUGCUGUACUUGAUAAAUGAAUUUCAGAGGCAGAACUGGAAGACAGUGAACAAUGCAGAGAGAGAUACAGUUCCAGGAUAGAAGACUGCUUUGAUUUCAUUAUAGCAGCACAUGGAGUAUAGAAUGAAAUUGUGCUGCUGUUGUAAUUUAUUCUCUUUAUUAAAAUAGACAAGCAUUAGACAAGCCAUAAAAUUCCCAUCUGCAUUCACAGCAGGCUCCCACCAUCUGAAAUACUGAUCCGCCCCCCUCUCAAAAACACCCAGGAAGGAAACAUUUUAAAAUUGGGGAUUGGCAGAAUCAUAAUAUUUAAUUUCUGAAAGCCAUGAUAUCCUCAUCUGCUCUUUGGGUUGCAGCGUGCAUUUUGAAGGGAAGGCUCGCCUUCUGUACUUAAAUGUCACCGAGGACACGGGAGUUGAGUAGGAAAGACCUGCAGUGCAGCAGAGGGAAGUGAAUGGACUCCCAGCUUGGUAAUUCUGCAGUCCUGCUCCCACCACCUCCCCUGGCUAACCACCUUGAGGAGAAAAACAGUGAGGAGAAAAAGCAGUGUGCUGAUAAUCAUGCCAGAGGCAAAGCACCCAUUGUCAUUUUAGCACAGUUUUCGCCAUUGCCUGAAGGACAAAGGCUUUUAAUAGGGAGAAAUUGCCAUCCAAGGCAUGAAGAAAGAGCCUGAGCUAGAGGGAAAAAAUUUUUUUUUCUCUUCCUGACUUAAAAGCCAAACACUUUCUUGCCUUUUAGACAUAGAAAGCAUAGAAUCCUGUGAAAGGGGUGUAAAAGGUAAUUGUAAAUUUGCAUCUUCUUUUUAGCAGACUGUACCCCUAACUUGGGAGAAUUUUCUGUUUCAAUUUUUCAUGCAGGCAGUCUGAUGAAAAAUUUAAACAAACUCUUUUAGGAGUGAGUCUUCCGUCAGAUGUCACGCCAAGCUCCCAUUUGGUGGGAACGGUUAUGUAAGGCCGUCUGUGCCGUCCUUCUAAAUAAUAGAUACCUACCAAGAGUCCGGGACCUGGCAGGCUGCACUGCCUCUCUCGCCCUGGAGACUUCUAUUGAUGGCAUUUCUGAUGGUUAGAUGUGAUAGAAAAUCUUCUUACUGCUAAUCUGUUUGGCUAGGAGGGGCUAUGUCCUCACCUUAGAGGGUUAAAAAAAAAAAAAAAAAAAGUACACACAGUGCUAGAAUUAGAUAUAUUUAGUUAAAAGUAAAGCUGAUGUUAGAGCAGACUGGCCACUGAAUGAAUGGAUAAUACUGAGGUGCCUUGAGAGAUGUGGGCACUUGUGAAAAAUAAAAGCUUUGAGGUCUUGAGAGAUGUGUAUUGAUCUGUUAGGCAACAAGGGCUUCAAUAUAUGUUAGCACUUUUGAUUCUUGUGGCCCUGUGGAAGAGGGAAUCUUAUUUUCAUGGCAGUUAUACUACCUCCCCAAGGUCACGUAGUAGCUACCAAACCACCCUGAAUCCCGGGUAACUUCCUUCUCCCAUCCCCCGCCCCUGCCGUACUAAACAUGAAAAUGCAGGUGUCUACUCUGAAAUCUGCCCAAGCAAGCAUUUCAGGCCUAGCCUCAGAGUGAAAGUAGGGAAGAAAGCUCUCAGGCUGUGUGUCUCGUCCCAGAGGCUGGAGGAGAAACUCAGUCUUCAUCCCCACCCCCCACCCCCGCAGGGUCUAUGCGCUGAAGGUAAAGAGAGGGCGCAAGCGAGUGCACAGUUGGUGCACAGUGAUUUAAUCCUUCGGUCCUUUGCCCUUGGCAGGAGAGUUCCACCGAGUUGAGUACAACCUGAGAAAGAUGAAAUAUGUGUGAAGGUGUUUUGGCAGCAUUUGUGUAUUACUACAUAUAAUUAAUAUUCUUAUCAGUUAUCACUGUCACCAUCUCUCCUGCUAACAUAAUUAUGUAGCCUGUCUUCCUGGUUAGGUGUGGCUCUGGAGUCAGAUUCCCAGAGUCCCUGUGUGUGUCUUCUCCCAUUGCUUACUGACUGUACCACUUAUUACCUUCACUGUCUCUCCCAUCUGUGCAAUGGAGACAGGAAUUCCUAUCUCCUUGUCCUUGUUGGGAAAUUUUCCUGAAAUGUCCCGCUUCAAGUGUCUGGGAAAUGCUGAAUAAAUCUCUCAUACUUUCCUGUUGUCCCAUUAAAAAGCAUACUUGAGAUCAAAUCUUCAUUGAGAGUUUCAUAGAUAAGUUUUUAAAUUUUAGCCAAUUUUAGGUGUAUCUGAAACCUUUGCAACAGACAGAAAUGCUAACACGAAGUAUAUGCUUGUAACCUCGUUCAAUUUUAUACAGCUCACUCUUCCUUUUUUUUUUUUUUAAUUUUUUUCUUAUUUGACAGAGUUAUAGACAGUGAGAGAGAAAGACAGUGAAAGGUCUUCCUUCCGUUGGUUCACCCUUCACCCCCCAAAUGGCCGCUACGGUUGGUGCUGCUCUGAUCUGAAGCCAGGAGCCAGGUGCUUCCUCCUGGUCUCCCAUGCAUGUGCAGGGGCCCAAGCACUUGGGCCAUCCUCCACUGUCCUUCCGGGCCACAGCAGAGAGCUGGACUGGAAGAGGAGCAACCGGGACUAGAAUCCAGUGCCCGUAUGGGAUGCCGGCGCUGGAGGAGGAGGAUUAACCAAGUGAGCCAUGGCGCUGGCCCCUCAAUCUUCCCUUCUAAAAGCAGUUUUCCCUUUAUUGAUUUUGAGAUACAUUCAACAACAAAUAUUUGAAAAUUGCUCAAUGAAAAUGAAGAUAGUAUCAGAUUUUUGAUUAACAGAAUGUAUAAUGGAAUUUGAAAGUUAUUUUUAAAGACUGUAGAUCCAUAACAUCAUAAGAAUGACUUUUUUUUUUUUAAGGUUUAUAUAUUUGAAGGCAGAGUUACAGAGAGGCAGAGAGAGAGAGAGAGAGGUCUUCCAUUCACUGGUUCACUCCCCAGAUGGCCACAUGGCAGGAGCUGCACCAAUCCGAAGCCAGGAGCUUCUCCCAGGUCACCCACAUGGGUGCAAGGGCCCAAGGACUUGGGCCAUCUUCUACUGCCUUCCCGGGCCAUAGCAAAGAGCUGGAUCAGAAUUGGAGCAGCCGGGACUUCAACCGGCACCCAUAUGGGAUGCCGGCAUUGAAGGUGGUGGCUUUAUCCAUUAUGCCAUAGUGCCAGCCCCUCCUGUACCAUUUUUAUUCCCUUUUGAUGUCAUUUAGACACUUGCAUGCAUUUUAUAUGGAAUGAAAUCUAACUAAAAAAGGCUUUUUUUUAAUAUUUAUUUUUUACUUAUUUGAAAGAGUUGCAGAGAGGUAGAGCCAGAGAGAGGGAGAGGUCUUCCAUUCUGCUGGUUCACUCCCCAAAUGACCUGAUGGCCAGAGCAGAGCUGAUCUGAAGCCAGGAGCUUCUUCUGGCUCUCCCAAGCAGGUGCAGGGGCCCGAGGGCUUGGGCCAUCUUCUACUGCUUUUCCAGGCCUCAGCAGAGAGCUGGAUUGGAAGAGGAGCAGCCAGGACUCAAGCCAGUGCCCACAUGGGAUGCUGGCACUGCAGGCUGGGGCUUUAACCCGCUGUGCCACAGUGCUGGCCCCAAGGCUGUCUUUCAUAAACAAUAUCUUCCUCCUUUAAGAAGUUUUCCACUUUUAUUUUCUCUCAUUUUCCUUCUUUCCUUCCUCUUUCUCAGCAAAUAUUUCAGCCUCUAUUUUUCAGGCACUAUUCACUAUGCUGGAAAACAGUGGUAAAUGUCAGCACCUUGCCCUCUGGAAUUUGCAAGUCUAUGUUUUUCAUAUAUUGAAAUUUUAGUCAUCUUCUAUUUCACGUUCAAAUAUGUGGUGAUUUGGGGUAUUUAUUCAGAGGAGAAGAUCCACAAACCAGCACCUGUUAGGAGAGCUGGCCUCCACUUUUUGGAAAUACAGACUAUGCCUCUUUGUUACACUGCAUUUUCCCUUAUUUUCUUGAAAACAUGUAGUUCCUCCCCGAUUUCUAUCUGAUUUUGUAUGUUGUCCACAUUAAAAAUGAUUACAUUAUUCUCCCAUCUUGGGAAGUGGUUUCCUGGUAGGCCAUUUGUUACAUUAUAACUAGAGUCUGAAUGUGCAUUGUUGAUUUUCCUAACAAAUUCCAUACAUUUUUAUUAUUAACUGUUCUCAUGAGAUACUUCUUUACAUCGAUACUAGAAAACUGAACAACCUUGAAUAAUUUGCCAACAGGGAUAUAUGGUAGUCCAGAAUCACUCUAGAUUCUGUUGGUUUUUAAAGAAAAUGAUUUUCUUUCUUCCUUUUUACUCCAGUGGGCUUGUAACACUUUGUUAGCUCAAAAAAAAAAAAGUUUGACCUGAUCUUUUCACAUAAACUUUAAAUGUUUUUAUAAGAAAACCAACAAAAAAGGAUGCAGAAAGGACAUUGUAUACAUAUCAUCUCUUUGGCUAGUUGUGCUGCCUUAUUCAUACCUACACUAUUUUUUUUAAAAGAUUUAUUUUAUUAUUUGAAAGAGUUACAGGGAGAGAGGUCUUCCAUCUGCUGGUUCACUCCCCAGAUGGCCACAAUGACUGGAGCUGAGCUGAUCUGAAGCCAGGAGCCAGGAGCUUCUUCCAGGUCUCCCACGUGAGCACAGGGACCCAAGGACUUGGGCCAUCUUCCACUGCUUUCCCAGGCCACAGCAGAGAGCUGGAUAGGAAGAGGAGCAGCUGGGACUAGAACCGGUACCCAUAUGGGAUGCUGGUGCUUCAGGACAGGGCUUUAACUCACUGAGCCACAGCGCCAACCCUCAUACCUACAUUAAAUUUAGUCUUCAGUUCUAUGAGUCAUGUUAGGGUUUUGUUUUUCUUUCAGUUUGUUUUUAUUACUUUUAAACUUGAUGAAUCUUAAGGAAAUCAUAACAGAUUCAUCAAUGGGCAGUGGUAGUGUAUGUCUCUAGUAAAAAAAAAAAUACUCAGAUGCCCUUUUAGACCCUGAUGCUCAGGAGAAGUGGCUCCCCAUACACUUAGCCAUGCCUCCCCACCUGCCAGGGGCCAUCUGGGAAGGGCUUGAGAUGGGAGGUUCAGCUGAACAUCGUGAACCCUGCAGCAGCCUUCGGGUUGUGCUCUGUCUUGGCUCCUCUCCCUGCUCUAAGUUUCUUCAUUCUGUCCAGGUGCUGUCGGUUGCAGGUGUGGUUAAUGGGUUAGGAAUGUGUUUAGCUGCAGAUAUGAGUGUCUUUGGCUAACAGUGAGAUAAACAAAAAGGAGUUACUUUUGCUAGAGGAAAAAAAGUGAAGAACAGGACUAGCCAUUUCAGUGCCUGUGCCAGGAGAUGGAAACGCCUCCCCCAAAGCCCCAUGCCAAUGUGUGCUUGCUAAUCUUCCAGCCACAACUGCCUCUUACAAGCUCCUGUAGCUGCAAGACACGCUAGAAAAAAAAUUUGGUAGCAUCCUACUGGGAAGGUAGCAGAAGAAAGGUGGUUAGGAGUAUCCAGAGAACGAGGCUACCUCUGUCCAAGGUAACCUGUCCCAUUGACUGCCUCAGAACGAGCUCUGACUUCCUUUGUGGGAAGCCUGUCUGAAUUGCCCAUUUUCCGUGAUGCACCCAUUUGGUCUUGCAGUCAUCAUCCACUAGACUGAGCUUGCUCCUCGGGCACAGACCGUAUCUCCAUGCACAGUACCUGAGGGAGGACGCCCAGCGGAGAAGCUCAAUGAGUGAAUGAAUGAAUGUGGGGUGUGUGGAUCUGCUUGGUAUUGCCUCAGCCAGCUGCCGGAGGGAAAGGGAGAGUGCUGAAUGAGGAAAUCUCAUUUCCACCUGACAUUCCAUCCUGGUCCCUGGGCAUUCCCUGGAUGAAAUGCGAAACCACAACCCUGACCACUUUUAUUCAUUAAGGUGCUAUGCCAAGUGUUUUGCCAAGGUCUGCUGGCUCAUGUGUGAUUUUAAAAAAAAUUCCAGUUUGGGACAGUAGGCUUUCUGCCUUCUGAAAAUGUUUGUAUGCAGUUUUAACUAGUGACAGUUAUUGGGCUGCUAAGUGAUAUAAAUAUUAGUUCAGCAUAACAAUCAGCAUAGUUCUCUGAAAUGAAAAAAUAUACAAAAUAGCUACUCAAAGGAAUUACUGUUGGUUGUGCAUAGAGAGAUGUAUAAUUUAAAAGUAUUUUAAACUUCUUGGAAUUUAUCCUAAGAAGAUAAUUUUGAAAGUGUUCAAAGAUAUAUCUACAAAGUUGUUUUGCUUUUUGUUGUUGUCAGUGGUGAUGUUAAUAGUGGUGUUUUAUAUUAAAAUUUGAAAAAGCAGCUCUUCACUAGGAGUGGGAUUAAAUAGAUAAAGAAACACUAUGGAAAUGUGAAAGUGAUCAGCUUUCCUGAUAGCAUAGAAAUGUUCCUGGAUGUAUCAACCAGGUGACAUGUAUGGCAGCGGGGGUGGGGUGGGAGGUGAGGGGUGGUGUGCUUCUCAGUAGAUAAAGCCAGAAUUAUGCUACUCUAAAUGUCUGCCCAUGCAAAACGUUAGGCAUACUUCCUUUUGGAAGUGUUUGGGGAGGGAGGGGGUAGCACUGUGGUGUAGUGCAUGAAGCCGCUGCUCGCGGAGCUGGCAUUCCAUAUGAGCACUGAUGUCCUGGGUGCUCCACUUCCAGUACAGCUCCCUGCUAGUGCUCCUGGGAAAGCAGUGGAAGAUGGCCCAUGUGCUUGGGCCCCUGCACCCACCUGGGAGACGCAAAAGUAUCUCCUGGUUCUUUGCUUUGCAUAGGACCAGCUCCAGCCGUUGCGGCAUUUGUAGAUCGAUGCCCUCUCUCUGUCUCUCUCUCUGACCAACAACCAUUUUCUCCUUGCUGUAUCUUCACGAGAGCAGGAAAUCAGAACAGAAUGAACUCUAAGCAGGUAUAUCUUGUAAAUAAUAUUUCUCAGAAUGUCUUCUCCAUGUCCCCAUGUGCCAUGUUCUGUAACUAUAACGAACACUAUCCAUGAUUACAAACUCACGUGAAUUUCUGUUCAGUUGAAUAAAGUACCUGAACUAUAGGAAGCCCAAGUGGACUCGGGCAUCUCUGGAAUAGUUUCAACAUCAAGGACAAAGCAAAAAGUGAUUUCUGAAAAGUCUUGAGUUAAACUAAAAAUUAAACCCCUCAAUUCUAUUCCCUGAACAUCCCAAGUAACUAACCAUUUGCCACAAGAACUUUGAAUAAGUGAUUUCUUUGAAAUUCCAUUCUAUCAAAGUACCAUACUGUGGGCAGAAAUAUGUCACAACCACCAAGAACAGUGAGCUUAUAUCAUUAUAUUGUAAGUAGUGUAAGUGUCAGUAGCAAAAGUCUGAUUGACUCAAGCAGAAAAUGAGAAAAAGUGAGGGCAGACCAUCAGUUCUGUGGCAUGCUGACUAGUCUGCUAAGGGACUAAGAAGAGAUCACUCUGGAAGAAAGAUUAAAAAAAAAAAAAAAAAGUUUGUCUGAAGCCUUGCUUUAGAAUAUGCCUAUAUCACUCAUCUUCUUGUUCCUAGAAGUCUGCAUGUGAAAAUAGACUUUUCAAGCCAAGGAGUAAAGAUUUUAUGUUAUAUUACUUGAGAAAGUAGGUUUAUCCAGCCUUUUGUUUUUAAUGAACAGUUAAACAGGUAGCAUGUUUUUCAUUUUCACCAAUCUUUCCUAGAAAGAAUCACUGAUAAUCUUUCUCUGCAAACCUGACCUUCCUUGUUCUGUUAUGGAAAGAUCAUAGAAAGAAACUAUGAAAAAGAACUGAGUUGCUCUUUUUAGAUUAGGUUUUGCAAUAUUAUAUUUAAAGGUUAAAGUGAUUUUUCAUCCAGCAGGCUUUGCUUCAGUAAAUCCAGCUCCUGUCUCCUUGGCUCUCCUGUCACUGGAAAGGAGAAGAGAGUAGUCUAGAUAGCACUCUGCUUUUGCUCUUUCCGUGGUGAGAAAUAUUCACACCAACUUGAUUAAAAAUAAAAUGAUACGACUGUCACACACUAAGUUUCUUAAUCAUUUAGCUGAGUAUUCUUGUUCAUUCAGCCACUGGGAAUAAAACAAUUGUUUCUGAUAAAAUUAGUUAUGUACUUAAAUUAUCUUGGUCUGGGAAAUACAACAAACAUAAAAGUGCAAUUGUCUCUCCCCUUGCCAAACAAACACACACGCAUGUGUGUGUAGGUGUGCACAUAGUAUAUUGAGAUUGUAAACUGUAGUUAACUGGAACAGGCAUUUGGCUUAGCAAUUAAGAUACUGCUAAGAUUCCUGUGUUCCAAGGGACCUGGCUCCAGUUUGGUGCUGAAGGCAUAUCCUGGGAGACCUUAGUGAUGGCUCAAGUAGUUGGGUCCUGCCACUCACAAGAGAGAUAAUAUUGAGGUUCUGGUUCCUGGUUCAUUACAGACAUUUGGUUGAUGAACCAGUGGAUGAAGUUCUCUGACUCUUGAACAAUUAAGAAAAGAAAAAAAGAAAAGAAAAAACUCCUUCACUAUUGGAACUGUUUCUCAAAUUCUGAAAAAGCUAGGUAUUUUGAAUUUUUUACAUGGUCAGUUAGUUCACUAAUUCACUGUAGUAGUUCAGAAGCUGAAAAAUUACUGAUAAAUAAAAGUUUUA